AUGCACGACAGGGGUAUGAGUACUGACGAGCCCCCGUGGACGGAGGAAGGAGAGGAGUCGGCCGAUCAUCAUUACUACAACAGCAUUCCCGGAAAGAUGCCGCCACCGGGAGGAUUCAUUGACACUAGAUUGACCAAUCAGACGCAAGACGGCUGCCAGGUCUGCCAAUCGAUAAUCACUCGAGAUCAGCUGCUUCUGCUAAUGCAACUAUUGAGUUUCUGUCAAUAUCUCUUGAUGAAUUGUGUUUUCGGUAAAUAAUGAUAGUAAAGAUCAUCCUGUUAUUCUGAGGUUUAGUAGUAUCUACCGCUUUAGAUACAGGAAAUGAAUCGAGAGAGAGGGAACAAAAUAAAUCUGAUAUUAACUGUGAUGUUUGCUUACAUUUUGUUACAAUUCUAUUUUUAUUCUGUUUUGUCUAUCUCAAAACCAAUAGUGCAAAAUACAGAACAAUUCCAAUAUUUCCACCCCAACAUAUAGUAUAUAUUUAUUAAAUUAAAAUAAUAAAAUAAAUAUUACAUUUUGUUAUUAUAUUAAAAUAAAAAAUGCAACACAAAUUUCAAAUUUUCCAUAUAAUACAAACAUAUAAUGUUUAAAAAAAAAUAAGAUUAAAUAAAUAAAUUUAUAUAUAUAUAUAUAUAUAUAUAUAUAUAUAUAUAUAUAUAUAUAUAUAUGUAAAUUUACACAUUAUAUUACGUUUUUUUUUAUCAAAACAAACAUUAUAUUGCAAAUAUUAUAUUUUUAUAUAAUAUUGAAACAAACACCUUUUCCACUCCAACAUUUAUAAGAAUUCAAUUAAAAUGAGAGGUGUAUAUUACAUUUUGUAACUGUCAUGAUUCUGCCCUCGUGUCCUUGAUUUUUCCUAGUCUUGAGGCAGGAUCAUGACAGACCCAUGUUUUGUGUACAAGCGCAUGGCCUUGUCUUUGGGCCAUGUGCUUGUGUUGUCUCGUUCCCUUGCCCCGCCCCCCUUGUUAACCUAGUCGUGUCUUGAUUGUCCUAUCUGUAACACCUGUCGUGUCUUGAUUAGUACCCCUAUUUAGAUCUCCUAGUGUGCUCUGUCUUGCGUCGGUUCAUUCUGUCAGGUAUUGGUAAGGGAGGAACUCAGGUGCAGACAGGGAUUCUCAAACAAAGGGUUUAUUACAAAAAGGGGAAAACAAAACCCACGAGGGGGAAAACACGGAGCAAGGUAAAGACUAAAUAACUAAAACAGGACUGGACUAACAAGAUAAACAAGGACUCUAAAUACUAACUAUAAACAAACACUCACGGUAAUACAAACACUUCUUGUGGAACAAUCACAAUCACAGGUACAAUGAACCGACGCAAGACAGAGCACACUAGGAGAUCUAAAUAGGGGUACUAAUCAAGACACGACAGGUGUUACAGAUAGGACAAUCAAGACACGACUAGGUUAACAAGGGGGGCGGGGCAAGGGAACGAGACAACACAAGCACAUGGCCCAAAGACAAGGCCAUGCGCUUGUACACAAAACAUGGGUCUGUCAUGAUCCUGCCUCAAGACUAGGAAAAAUCAAGGACACGAGGGCAGAAUCAUGACAGUAACAGUAUCGAAAACAAAAACAACUUUCCCACAGUGUAUAGAAUGAUUAAAAUAAAUAAUAUACUUAAAAGUAAUAUUUAUUUGUUUAUCAUGUUGAAAUAACACAAAAAUGUACAAUUCCAACUUUCCCAUCCCAACAUAUAUAGCUAAAAUAGAUUGAUAGAUAGAUUUUAAUUGGAGAUAAAUUAAACUGUGGCUUUAAAGGAUUCAUUGAGAGGACUUCCUGUAGUGUU
rnacentral:lncRNA from 1 species